CGAUUAAGAUAAUUAAUUAAAUUAAAUUAAUUAGCAACUUCGAUAUUGCAUACAUUCGUAAAAUAUUAACGAGACUGUAUUGUACGAAACUGUUUCGCUUCGGUUAAAAUUCCAAUUUUAAAAUUUGUUAAUAUUAAUCCCUCUGAAUUUUUAACAUCAAUGUCAAGCUCAUUUUCACCACCAACCGUAAAUUUUAUACGAUUUCCAUUCAUAAUACAUUAUGAUUGAAUAAUUUUCGAUGAAAUUAGGAAAAAAAAAAUAAAAAAAUAAAAAAAGAGAAAGGUACGAGUAAUUAAAAAAUAUUCAAUUAUCCUUUCAAUUUGUUUCGCCCUUCCCCUAUGAAAUUUUUAAUAUUUAUCGUACCGACCACACGGUCUAGUAUAUGGCAUUAAAAAUUAAAAGUCAGUUACUGUAAAUGUGAGCAAAGAGCGCACCAAGCACUUUCAAUUUUCGAAGAAACAAAAUUUUCGAUCCAAAUCUACACGCGUUGAUUACAUUAUAAAUAGUAACUACUAUAUCGUUAAUUUUAAAUGAUGAUCCGUCGCCGAAAUUAAUAUUAAACACGUAGACGAUCAGAUAAACAGUAAUUGAUUUAUCAUUGAUUGCCUUCGAGGAAUUUAUCCCUUCGCUAAUUAGAUAGGGAUCACAAGUCGCCCUGUCUGCCAUAAACGUGUCGAUAUUUCGAUCAAUCACGAAAAUGAAUUCCAUUGAAAAAUAAUUAUCUCAAUUAUCUCGAUAAUUAUCUAUGAGAAUUUUAAUUUUAUUCAGAAAAAAUUCACGAGUGAAGAAUUACGAGUUAAGAUAAAAUAAAUAAAUAAAAAAAUAAAACAAUACGCUAAGACAUGUCAUCAUAAGAUCAAAUAUUUUCAUAUAUUCCGAAAGUAGGAAAAAGAAAGAAUUUUAGAAUUUAUCGCGCAAUAGAGAUUCGAAUAACAAUGGAGAGCACGCAUGAAACGCACGAUAUUCGGAUAACAACGUAUAAAGUCGAGUAUCUUCGAUCCUGUAUACGCGCACCGUAUGUAAUCGUAUAGUCAUAAUUUUACUACAAUAUACAUGUAGCGCACGGUUGCGUGUCAUGAAACGCAAAUGCGCAUUCCUCAUUGGAACACGUAGUUUGAUUUAUGCUUACGAACUCUCACGGUGUUUCCAGGACUACACACUACAUAUGAGAGAUAAUAGUGUGAAUCAACAUCGGUCCAAUCCAUCCAAACUUUCACGCUUUCGGUGAUUUAAUCCUUCUUUCGAUUAAUCAUAUUAUGUGAAUCAUAUAAUUCGAUUUUUUUAAUAAUCAUCUUUUUGAUUUUAUUUUAUUUUAAUUGUCUCUUCGAUACGAGUGGUUAAUUUAUUACUACGUAAAUAAGUCGCGACGCAUAUGAUUCUUUCGUAAUUGUUUUUUUUUUUAAUUUAUUUUAUUUUUAAUUUAAUUAUCAACCAUUUCAUAUUUCACUUAUUUUACGAACAGUAUCUGAUAUUUAACCACACAGGCUGAUGACAAUAGGGAGGAUCAAGUUUAGAACGUUUAUUGUCCUUCUGCACGCAAUCGAGUAUGCAGAAGCCAUUUGAAAAACACAUUUAGAACUUCUUGUUGAAUAGUCACGUUUAAAAAAAAGAAACAGAAAGAAGAAUUCAACGUAAGAGUAUCACUAAGAAUUUUUUAAUCCAAGGAUAAUUAAAAUUUUCCAAGGUUGCAAAACGUGUGAAACGAAUUUUGGCGUUGUUUAGAUAAAACGAUAAGAAACCAUGGAAUGACCAGCCAGUUCUUCCUCCUGUCUCCUCCACUCUAUUAGAUUUUUAUCCGCGAGCUAAAGUAAAAAAAAUGCGGUUUAUCACAACGAAGCCAACAACACGGCGCAGGAUAUAAGAGAAAAAAA